rnacentral:rRNA from 1 species
GAUGAACGUUGGCGGUAUGCUUAACACAUGCAAGUCGAACGGUCACUUCGGUGAUAGUGGCGGACGGGUGAGUAACGCGUGAGAAUCUGUCUUCAGGUCGGGGACAACAGUUAGAAAUGACUGCUAAUACCGGAUGUGCCUUUGGGUGAAAGAUUUAUUGCCUGAAAAAGAGCUCGCGUCAGAUUAGCUAGUAGGUGGUGUAAGAGACUACCUAGGCUCCGAUCUGUAGCUGGUCUGAGAGGACGAUCAGCCACACUGGAACUGAGACACGGUCCAGACUCCUAUGGGAGGCAGCAGUGGGGAAUUUUCCGCAAUGGGCGAAAGCCUGACGGAGCAAUACCGCGUGAGGGACGAAGGCUUUUGGGUCGUAAACCUCUUUUCUCAAGGAAGAUGAUGACGGUACUUGAGGAAUAAGCAUCGGCUAACUCUGUG